rnacentral:lncRNA from 1 species
CUUCCAUCCAAUGAAAGAUGGACUGCAGGGGCAACGUUUCUAGCAAUGACACCAUCAUAGCAGUUGUGAAACAGUGGAUCACCUCCACUGCUGUGGAUUUUCACAAGCAGCCUCUUGUUCAGCACUGGUGAAAAUGCAUAGUCAGUGGUAGAAACUAUGGUGAAAAAUUUUCACCUGUUUUGUAGCUGAGAAUUUGCUCCAUCCAGUAGUGAUAACGUAUUGCUCUUUUUAUCUGUUGCAGUGUCCAUGGAAACAGAUAGGAGCCAUUACUUUUGGAGCAACAUACUUUAGAGCAAGGAUGAGAUUCACAGCUUCCCAAAAGGUCAAGUUUGGAAUUGUACUCCUGUCCUCAGCUGCACUUAUUGUUCCAGUCAAGCCCA